UACGGAGGGUGCGAGCGUUGUCCGGAUUUAUUGGGUUUAAAGGGUGCGUAGGCGGCCUGGUAAGUCGGCGGUGAAAGCCCGGGGCUCAACCCCGGAACUGCCAUCGAUACUGUCAGGCUUGAGUGUGGUUGAGGGUGGCGGAAUGGGCGGUGUAGCGGUGAAAUGCAUAGAUACCGUCCAGAACCCCGAUUGCGAAGGCAGCUGCCUAAGCCACAACUGACGCUGAGGCACGAAAGCGUGGGGAGCGAACAGG
rnacentral:rRNA from 1 species